GAGGGUAUAGCUCAAGUGGUAGAGUGCAUGCUUAGCAUGCAUGAGGUUCUGGGUUCAAUCCCCACUACGUCCU
rnacentral:tRNA from 1 species